rnacentral:rRNA from 1 species
GAUGAACGCUGGCGGCGUGCUUAACACAUGCAAGUCGAACGAACCUUCGGGUUAGUGGCGGACGGGUGAGUAACGCGUGAGAAUCUGCCCUCAGGAGGGGGAUAACGGUUGGAAACGACCGCUAAUACCCCAUAUGCCGAGAGGUGAAAAGAAAUUCGCCUGAGGAUGAGCUCGCGUCUGAUUAGCUAGUUGGUGUGGUAAUGGCGCACCAAGGCUUCGAUCAGUAGCUGGUCUGAGAGGAUGAUCAGCCACACUGGGACUGAGACACGGCCCAGACUCCUACGGGAGGCAGCAGUGGGGAAUUUUCCGCAAUGGGCGAAAGCCUGACGGAGCAACGCCGCGUGAGGGAUGAAGGCCUCUGGUCUGUAAACCUCUUUUCU